rnacentral:rRNA from 1 species
UACGUAGGGAGCAAGCGUUAAUCGGAAUUACUGGGCGUAAAGCGUGCGCAGGCGGUGAUGUAAGACAGUUGUGAAAUCCCCGGGCUCAACCUGGGAACUGCAUCUGUGACUGCAUCGCUGGAGUGCGGCAGAGGGGGAUGGAAUUCCGCGUGUAGCAGUGAAAUGCGUAGAUAUGCGGAGGAACACCGAUGGCGAAGGCAAUCCCCUGGGCCUGCACUGACGCUCAUGCACGAAAGCGUGGGGAGCAAACAGG